ACGGUAAUCGCUGGAGUGUGCGAAGAAGGAGAAUGCAAGAAAAAGAAUGUGACUCGUUACAAGCUGCCAGGUGCGCGGCCCACUGUGGUCGACCCCUAUUAUCGCCACUGCAAGGUGAACAAGACUCAAAUAAACAGGAAGCUCAAAGUCGUUAUAGGGUGUAUCGCGAGUUGUCAC